AUUGAACGCUGGCGGCAGGCUUAACACAUGCAAGUCGAGCGGGGUGAUGGUGCUUGCACUAUCACUUAGCGGCGGACGGGUGAGUAAUGCUUAGGAAUCUGCCUAUUAGUGGGGGACGACAUCUCGAAAGGGAUGCUAAUACCGCAUACGUCCUACGGGAGAAAGCAGGGGAUCACUUGUGACCUUGCGCUAAUAGAUGAGCCUAAGUCGGAUUAGCUAGUUGGUGGGGUAAAGGCCUACCAAGGCGACGAUCUGUAGCGGGUCUGAGAGGAUGAUCCGCCACACUGGGACUGAGACACGGCCCAGACUCCUACGGGAGGCAGCAGUGGGGAAUAUUGGACAAUGGGGGGAACCCUGAUCCAGCCAUGCCGCGUGCGUGAAGAAGGCCUUAUGGUUGUAAAGCACUUUAAGCGAGGAGGAGGCUCUUUUGGUUAAUACCCAAGAUGAGUGGACGUUACUCGCAGAAUAAGCACCGGCUAACUCUGUGCCAGCCGCCGCCGUAA
rnacentral:rRNA from 1 species